CUUUAUGCAUGCCCUGAGCAACAGAAAGUUGUUGCUUGCAAGAACAAAUGAUGCUGGAGAACCUUCUCCUUCAUUUAGGCUCUUGCCACGCCACUAAGCCAGUUGAGCAGGGUCUCAAACAGGUCCUUGCGAUUCCCUGUUUUAUCUGACUCUUUCUCUGACCAUGGAAGGUGCUAUAACCUUACAUUAAAAAAGAAGUACCAUCGUUGUAGUGCCUCAUUAAACAAACCAGUCGACAGAACACACAGUGGGCUGUUCUUGGAAGUGGCAUAGUGACGUAUCCCAGCAACAUGAGAAACCAGAUCUCUCAAGUUAUCAUCCUGAUGCUCUUUAACACAUUCUCUGAAGCGGAAGACCCGGAGGCGAAGUCGAAAAGCUCUCCAAAAGUAUCUCCGAACGACUUUGAAUACGAUCCAAGUUUGUACCCUAUGUUUUACGAUUACUCAUUUGGGUCGAAGCCUUGCAGUCUGGAAGGAGACCCGUGCCGCAUGGGAGUUACGGUGUGCUGUCCAUACAUGGUAUGUGCCACAUUGAACCCUGAUGCUGCAGAAGCGACUGGCCUUUGUACACUUUCGAGAGACGCAGAAUAAAAUUGAAUUUCUGCACUUAA